rnacentral:rRNA from 1 species
GAUUAGAUACCGUCGUAGUCUUAACUAUAAACUAUGCCGACCAGGGAUAUGAGUUGUUAUGAAUAACUUUUAGUUAUUCAAUUUCCUCUUGUGGACCUUGUGAGAAAUCAUAAGUUUUUGGGUUCUGGGGGGAGUAUGGUCGCAAGGCUGAAACUUAAAGGAAUUGACGGAGGGGCACCACCAGGAGUGGAGCGUGCGGCUUAAUUUGACUCAACACGGGAAAACUUACCAGGUCCAGACAUUAGAAGGAUUGACAGAUUGAUAGCUCUUUCAUGAUUUAAUGGGUGGUGGUGCAUGGCCGUUCUUAGUUGGUGGAGUGAUUUGUCUGGUUAAUUCCGAUAACGAACGAGACCUUUACCAUACUAAAUAGUUUGAUUUAUUCAUUUAUGAAUAGAUUUAUUUUUAUUAAACUUCUUAGAGGGACUAUUGGUUCUUAAACCAAAGGAAGUAAAGGCGAUAACAGGUCUGUGAUGCCCUUAGAUGUUCUGGGCUGCACGCGCGCUACAAUGAUAAACUCAACGAGUAUUUAAUAUUUAUUUAUUAUAUUGCUGUAUCGGAAGGUAUGGCUAAUCUUAAACGUUUAUCGUGCUUGGGAUAGAUGAUUGCAAUUAUUUAUCUUGAACCAGGAAUUCCUAGUAAUCGUAUAUCAUCAGUGUGCGAUGAUUACGUCCCUGCCCCUUGUACACACCGCCCGUCGCUGCUACCGAUUGGAUGAUCCGGUGAAAUCCUCGGAUAAUGAUAAAUACUUUACUUUGUAAAGUUUAUCGUUAGAAGUUGAUUAAACCUUAUCAUCUAGAGGAAGCAAAAGUCGUAACAAGGUUUCCGUAGGUGAACCUGCAGAAGGAUCA